rnacentral:rRNA from 1 species
AUUGAACGCUGGCGGCAUGCCUUACACAUGCAAGUCGAACGGCAGCACGGGAGCAAUCCUGGUGGCGAGUGGCGAACGGGUGAGUAAUGUAUCGGAACGUGCCUUGUCGUGGGGGGAUAACGUAGCGAAAGCUACGCUAAUACCGCAUACCAUCUAAGGAUGAAAGCGGGGGAUCGCAAGACCUCGCGCGACAAGAGUGGCCGAUAUCAGAUUAGGUUGUUGGUGGGUAAAGGCUACCAAGCCGACGAUCUGUAGCUGGUCUGAGAGGACGACCAGCCACACUGGGACUGAGACACGGCCCAGACUCCUACGGGAGGCAGCAGUGGGGAAUUUUGGACAAUGGGCGAAAGCCUGAUCCAGCAAUGCCGNGUGCAGGAUGAAGGCCUUCGGUUGUAAC